GCCUGCAGCUUGCAAAAGUACCUGGUUAUUUUUAUUCCUUUGAUACUUGAUCUACUAUCAAAAUAACUGAUUUUUUUUCUCUUUAACUCCUUAGGAAUCCCCAAAAAACCUGCCACAGGUGAGGCACUGCCAAAAGCCCCCUCAGUUGCCCAUGCACAGGAGGGGUCGGGUCACCGCUUGCGCAGCCCUACAACUGCAGCUAUGUGUGGUGCAGGGUUUCUCCUGAAGACGUGAGGGUUUUGUCCUGCCCUGCGUGGGUUUUGCAAUCCAGAUACUCAGGAACAUCUUUGCUGACGACGUAUCUCGGGCUCUCACUUGUGCUUGUCCUGGCCAUCCUUGUACACGAAGUGUCUGCAUGUGUUCAGCUGGAAGAUGAUGGGGUGAGUGUGCAUAUGGAGGUGAUUCUGGAGAUGGAUGGGUGCAAUCCUACCAGCCCUGCCAAUAUUUGCAACUUGAAACGUUGGGGGAGGGACUUUUUAUCAGGGAGUGCAGUGAUAGGACAAGGAGUAAUGGUUUUAAACUGAAAGAGGGGAGAUUUAGAUUAGAUAUUAGGAAGAAAUUCUUUACUGUGAGGAUGGUGAGACCCUGGAACAGGUUUCCCAGAGAAGGUGUGUCUGCCCCAUCCCUAGAGGGGUUCAAUCCCCUGGCAGGGGGAUUGGAACUCGAUGAUCUUUAAGGUCCCCUCCAACUCUAACCAUUCUGUGAUUCUAUGAUUAUGUAUUUACAGCAAGACAUGACCAUAAGAGGGGUUUUAUAACCAGCUGGUUAACAAGUGCUCCUUCCCAGCAUGGCUGCUUCCAGAAAUCUCCAGGUUUCGACCUGCUGGCUAUUUCAAGUAAGUCUCAAUUUAUAUAUUUUCUUUUCAUAAGCUCUCCAUGGCCAAGCUGUGACAGCUGAGGGAAACCUGCUCAGUCUUUCAGUAUUAAGAUCUCAAUUAUCAGAGGACUGGCUUCUUCCACAGGAUUGUGUGUGUGUGUGUGUUGGGACUCCUUAAAGUCUUUUCAGAGCUGAAGCAUAAGCGGGGACUCAGCUUGGUGUGGUAUUGGGGGCUCUGAAAAAAAAUGCCAGGAGGGAAAGUCCAACCUCGAUUUUUGUCAUUUAAUGCCAC
rnacentral:lncRNA from 1 species